rnacentral:rRNA from 1 species
UAAUAAUGUUUAUUUUUAAUAAGAUUUUAUAUGAAAUUCAAUUCUGAAGUUUAAAAGUAUUGGCGGUGAUUAAUUAAAUUCUGAGAAUCUUGCUUUAUUAAAAUGAUAUUACACAAUUUAUCUUACCAUUUUUUUUGGUUUAUGUAUUGCUGUUUAAUUAAUAAGUUAAUUAAGAUAAAUUAAUAUAAUAAUAAUAAUUAUGAAUAUUUCAAGUCUAAAUGUAGUUUUAUUAUGGUUAAAGUGAGUUGCUGUUAUUAAUUAAAAUGAAAUAAAAUAGAAAGUGAAGUAAUUUUUAUAAAAAUUAGGAUUAGGUUGUAAAAUAAAAUUAAUUUGUUUUUUUGAUAUUUUUUUUAACAUGU